rnacentral:rRNA from 1 species
AGGGUUUGAUCCUGGCUCAGGAUGAACGCUGGCGGCGUGCUUAACACAUGCAAGUCGAACGAAGCACUGGAGAACGGAGAUUUCGGUUGAAGUUUUCCUUUGACUGAGUGGCGGACGGGUGAGUAACGCGUGGGUAACCUGCCCUGUACAGGGGGAUAACAGUUAGAAAUGACUGCUAAUACCGCAUAAGCGCACAGCUUCGCAUGGAGCGGUGUGAAAAACUGAGGUGGUACAGGAUGGGCCCGCGUUGGAUUAGCUAGUUGGCGGGGUAACGGCCCACCAAGGCGACGAUCCAUAGCCGGCCUGAGAGGGUGAACGGCCACAUUGGGACUGAGACACGGCCCAA